AUACGUAGGGAGCGAGCGUUGUCCGGAAUUACUGGGUGUAAAGGGAGCGUAGGCGGGAGUGCAAGUCAGAUGUGAAAUACAUGGGCUCAACCCAUGGGCUGCAUUUGAAACUGCAUUUCUUGAGUGAAGUAGAGGUAAGCGGAAUUCCUGGUGUAGCGGUGAAAUGCGUAGAUAUCAGGAGGAACACCGGUGGCGAAGGCGGCUUACUGGGCGUUUACUGACGCUGAGGCUCGAAAGCGUGGGGAGCAAACAGGAUUAGAUCCCCUGGUAGUCCACGCUGUAAACGAUGAUUACUAGGUGUGGGGGGACUGACCCCUUCCGUGCCGCAGUUAACACAAUAAGUAAUCCACCUGGGGAGUACGGCCGCAAGGUUGAAACUCAAAUGAAUUGACGGGG
rnacentral:rRNA from 1 species